rnacentral:rRNA from 1 species
CCUACGGGUGGCUGCAGUGAGGAAUAUUGCGCAAUGGGGGAAACCCUGACGCAGCAACGCCGCGUGAGUGAGGAAGGUUUUCGGACCGUAAAGCUCUGUCGAGCGGGAAGAAGUGCAUGGUGGCUAAUAUCCAUUAUGCUUGACGGUACCGCUAAAGGAAGCACCGGCUAACUCCGUGCCAGCAGCCGCGGUAAUACGGGGGGAAGCAGCGUUGUUCGGAAUCAUGGGGCGUGAUGAGUAAGUCAGAGGUGAAAGCCCUGGGCUUAACCUAGGAAGUGCAUUUGAAACUGUUCAGCUUGAGUAAGGGAGAGGAAAGUGGAAUUCCUGGUGUAGAGGUGAAAUUCGUAGAUAUCAGGAGGAACACCGGUGGCGAAGGCGACUUUCUGGCCCUAUACUGACGCUGAGACGCGAGAGCGUGGGUAGCAAACAGGAUUAGAUACCCGUGUAGUC